GGUGAGGUGGCCGAGUGGUCUAAGGCGCUAGCUUAAGGUAUUCUUUCUCAGUAUCUCAGUACUGAUCGCUAGUUCGAAAGAGCGCGAGUUCGAAUCUCGCCCUCAUCA
rnacentral:tRNA from 1 species